rnacentral:lncRNA from 1 species
ACGUAAACGUAAAUUGCAAAGAAACUCGUUCGUAAAAGCGCAGAAGACAGUUUGCAGUUAUAAAUAGAAUCAAAACGUAAAUGUAAACUGCAAUGUAAAGAUCAUACGAAAACACCGAUUUACGUCUGAAUGUAGAUUCGGAAAGAUCAGAACUUAGAAACUUGUUCGUAAAAGCGCAGAGAACAGUAACUAUGUAGGAGGUUUGCAGUAAUGAUAAAGUGCUCAAAAUAAAAGCAAACCAGAGAUUUAGAGUGGUUCGGUCAGUCUUGACCUACUCCACUUUUUGCUUCCUCCACCGACGAGGUCACCGACGUCAACUAGAGGCCUUCCUUCAAUAGGCGAAGGCCAACUGCCCUUUUACAGUUUCACUCCUUUUGACGGGCUUAGGAGACAACCCUUACAGAACCUUUCUCUCCUCUCUUUACAACUCAAGACUUGAAGAACAGAAAGAGGAGAACUUUUGGACUUUACACAAAUUUGAG